AGGCUCGUAGCUCAGUUGGUUAGAGCACCACCUUGACAUGGUGGGGGUCGU
rnacentral:tRNA from 1 species